CCUACGGGGGGCAGCAGUGGGGGAUAUUGCACAAUGGGGGGAACCCUGAUGCAGCGACGCCGCGUGGGUGAAGGAGCGUUUCGGCGCGUAAAGCCCUAUCGGCAGGGAAGAAGAUGACGGUACCUGACCAAGAAGCCCCGGCUAACUACGUGCCAGCAGCCGCGGUAAUACGUAGGGGGCAAGCGUUAUCCGGAUUUACUGGGUGUAAAGGGGGCGCAGACGGCAAUGCAAGCCAGGAGUGAAAGCCCGGGGCCCAACCCCGGGACUGCUCUUGGAACUGCAUGGCUGGAGUACAGGAGGGGCAG
rnacentral:rRNA from 1 species